AUGAGAUGGGUUUCAGGGUCCCGUUGGAAGUGGAUAAGGGCAUGUCAGCGUGAGGGCUGAAAAGCCCCGAGUAUCUCAGGAGGAGUUUAUGGCCUUUCAUAAUUUUCAUUGAUCAGAAUCAACAUUAAUCUGGUAUCAAGUUCAGUUAGUUGUGAGAGCACUCAAGUGGUGAAAACUACAGUGGGUAGCAGACCUUUCAUGAGGACCCAGGCAUGAUUACACAAGUACUUCUUGCCAACAAAAGUAGACCAAAACAUGAAACAAAGUAGUCCUUUUAAGUUAUGUCCAAAAAUACUAUUAUAAAUGCAGUCCAUGGUUAGUGUGUUGUACUUCCAUAUGCUCUUAGUAUGUUGUUACAGCUCUG